rnacentral:rRNA from 1 species
UACGUAGGGGGCUAGCGUUGUCCGGAAUCAUUGGGCGUAAAGCGCGCGUAGGCGGCCCGGUAAGUCCGCUGUAAAAGUCAAAGGCUCAACCCUUUGAAUGUCAGUGGAUACUGCCGGGCUAGAGUCCGGAAGAGGCGAGUGGAACUCCUGGUGUAGCGGUGGAAUGACGCAGAUAUCAGGAAGAACACCGACGGCGAAGGCAGCUCGCUGGGACGGUACUGACGCUGAGGCGCGAAAGCGUGGGGAGCGAACAGG